GUGCUCGCUUUGGCAGCACAUAGAGUAAAAUUGGAAUGAUACACAGAAGAUUAGCAUGGCCCCUGUGCAAGGAUGACACGCAAAUUCAUGAAGAGUUCCAUAUUUUG